AAUCCCAUUUCAGUGCCUUCCAUUCUUGUUUUCAAUGAAUGGAUGGCUAAUCUUAUGGGAUAGAAAAACUCUUGUCAUGGUCUGAAGGUGUGGCUACUUCUGUGUUUCCUCACCCAAUAAAAUGACAAAUAAUGGAGAU